rnacentral:rRNA from 1 species
UGACUAUAAACGAUAUGAACUGAAGAUUAUACCUGUACAGAAAGGGAACCUCUUUUUUAUUUCGGUAAGAAAUGUUUCCGAAUUGUUAGGUAUAACAAUCAAGGCCUCUGUGGGAUUCAAGGAGAAAUCCUUGAGUCUCUACAUUUCAGGGGGAGUAUGGUUGCAAGGCUGAAACUUAAAGGAAUUGACGGAAGGGCACACCAGGAGUGGAGCCUGCGGCUUAAUUUGACUCAACACGG